rnacentral:rRNA from 1 species
CAGGGAAUAUUGGUAAUGGGCGAAAGCCCGAACCAGCAACGCCGCGUGUGCGAUGAAGGCCUUCGGGUCGUAAAGCACUUUUUGGAGGGAUGAGGAAGGACAGUACCUUCAGAAUAAGUCUCGGCUAACUACGUGCCAGCAGCCGCGGUAAGACGUAGGAGGCAAGCGUUAUCCGGAUUUACUGGGCGUAAAGCGCGUGCAGGCGGUUCGGUAAGUUGGAUGUGAAAGCUCCUGGCUUAACUGGGAGAGGUCGUUCAAUACUGUCGGACUUGAGAAUGGUAGAGGAAGGCGGAAUUCCGGGUGUAGUGGUGAAAUGCGUAGAUAUCCGGAGGAACACCAGUGGCGAAAGCGGCCUUCUGGACCAUUUCUGACGCUCAGACGCGAAAGCUAGGGGAGCAAACGGG